rnacentral:rRNA from 1 species
GAUCAUGGCUCAGAUUGAACGCUGGCGGAAUGCUUUACACAUGCAAGUCGAACGGUAGAGGGGCAACCCUUGAGAGUGGCGAACGGGUGAGUAAUAUAUCGGAACGUGCCCUAGAGUGGGGGAUAACGUAGCGAAAGUUACGCCUAAUACCGCAUACGAUCUACGGAUGAAAUGGGGGAUCGCAAGACCUCAUGCUCAUGGAGCGGCCGAUAUCUGAUUAGCUAGUUGGUGGGGGUAAAAAGCCCUACCAAGGCGACGAUCAGUAGCUGGUCUGAGAGGACGACCAGCCACACUGGAACUGAGACACGGACCAGACUCCUACGGGAGGCAGCAGUGAGGAAUAUUGGUCAAUGGUCGCAAGACUGAACCAGCCAUGCCGCGUGCAGGAAGACGGUCCUAUGGAUUGUAAACUGCUUUUAUACAGGAAGAAACCCUCCCACGUGUGGGAGCUUGACGGUACUGUAGGAAUAAGGAUCGGCUAACUCCGUG